CAGAGGCGCUGCGACCGCACGGGCAGCCCCGUCCCGCGCCGGGCAGCCCGGCCGGACCAUGGCAUGGGCACAGGGGGAUCUGACGUCCUCGCUUUCCAUCGUCGUCGCCUUGGCUGCCUGCAUUUCCGCCACCACCAGCGAAGUGAACUUGCUAGACACAUCGACGAUCCCGGGGGACUGGGGCUGGCUCACUUACCCUUCACAUGGGCACUUAGGUAUUGCAAUGAUGACUGUCCUGGAAAUGUUCACAGAUACAAGGUCAGAGAGGACCGUGGAGCUAAUGUGAUGUGAUCUCCUGCAUAAAUACAGGCCAGCAGAGCUGUCAGUUAACUUGCAUUUGAUAAAAGCAGAGCUUUUAGAAAUAAGUUCUCGAUUUCAAAAUUGCUAGUGAUGGUAAAUCCUCUGCAUCCCAUACUGAGUUGUUGCAAGCUGUUAACAGAUC
rnacentral:lncRNA from 1 species